AACAAAAAUUGUCACUCAGUUCAGUUAAACAACCAAUUAGUUCAACCUUACAAUCAGGAAAUCUCUUUCUUUUAAAAAUGAAUUAAUUAUUUGGCUGACUGAGUUGACAGGUUAUUUUCGGGAAAGUAGCUAAAUUGGGUCUUGUGUGUAAGCAUAACCUCAAUUGUCAGAACUCUAAUUCUCAUUAAGUCAAUGGAAUCAGAUAUGUAGAGGCAUAGACAGCUUUUUCUUUUCUUUUAUGUUAUCUCUUUCUACUCAGCUGUUGAUUUUCUUUCCUACACGGAUUAUGGAUUUUAGUUUUCCAAUGGCCCAGCAACUAUUACCUGAGUUUACAGACUGUGUACCUGUGCAAAGAACUCAGUUCUGGAUGAUCUUAUCAUCCCAGCUUUAUACAUGGGAACCCUGAUGGCAAGGGAGAUUAAUGAUGCAUACUAAUUUUAUUCCGUGAGCAAGAUAGUGAAGAUGAACCAGAGAGACUCUGCUUGUUAUUUAUCAUCUCUGUUAAAGGGACAAAGUAAUAAC
rnacentral:lncRNA from 1 species